AGAGUUUGAUCCUGGCUCAGAUUGAACGCUGGCGGCAGGCCUAACACAUGCAAGUCGAACGGUAGCACAGAGGAGCUUUCUCCUUGGGUGACGAGUGGCGGACGGGUGAGUAAUGUCUGGGGAUCUGCCCGAUGGAGGGGGAUAACCACUGGAAACGGUGGCUAAUACCGCAUAACGUCGCAAGACCAAAGUGGGGGACCUUCGGGCCUCACACCAUCGGAUGAACCCAGAUGGGAUUAGCUAGUAGGUGGGGUAACGGCUCACCUAGGCGACGAUCCCUAGCUGGUCUGAGAGGAUGACCAGCCACACUGGAACUGAGACACGGUCCAGACUCCUACGGGAGGCAGCAGUGGGGAAUAUUGCACAAUGGGCGCAAGCCUGAUGCAGCCAUGCCGCGUGUAUGAAGAAGGCCUUCGGGUUGUAAAGUACUUUCAGCGGGGAGGAAGGGGACGAGGUUAAUAACCUCGUUCAUUGACGUUACCCGCAGAAGAAGCACCGGCUAACUCCGUGCCAGCAGCCGCGGUAAUACGGAGGGUGCAAGCGUUAAUCGGAAUUACUGGGCGUAAAGCGCACGCAGGCGGUCUGUUAAGUCAGAUGUGAAAUCCCCGGGCUUAACCUGGGAACUGCAUUUGAAACUGGCAGGCUUGAGUCUUGUAGAGGGGGGUAGAAUUCCAGGUGUAGCGGUGAAAUGCGUAGAGAUCUGGAGGAAUACCGGUGGCGAAGGCGGCCCCCUGGACAAAGACUGACGCUCAGGUGCGAAAGCGUGGGGAGCAAAUAGGAUUAGAUACCCUGGUAGUCC
rnacentral:rRNA from 1 species